UACGGAGGGGGCUAGCGUUGUUCGGAAUUACUGGGCGUAAAGCGCACGUAGGCGGCUUUGUAAGUUAGAGGUGAAAGCCCAGGGCUCAACCCUGGAAUUGCCUUUAAGACUGCAUCGCUUGAACAUCGGAGAGGUAAGUGGAAUUCCGAGUGUAGAGGUGAAAUUCGUAGAUAUUCGCAAGAACACCAGUGGCGAAGGCGGCUGACUGGUCCGGUUCUGACGCUGAGGCGCGAAAGCGUGGGGAGCAAACAGG
rnacentral:rRNA from 1 species